rnacentral:lncRNA from 1 species
CUUAUAAUCAUCGUCCACUACCGAUCCAACCGUGCAACCUCCAUGGUAAUGGUAGUAGGUCCUCACAUUCGCUUUGCAGAAUUUCCUUUGCCCAUCCGUGCUAGUCAUCAAGUUAUUUUGAGGUUUAACACCAAGGUAAAAUGCAAUUGAUUCAGACUUGGCUACUCGUUCAAGCAAAUGUACCAUAUUUGCACAGUCGUCCAAGUCGUUUUCGUCUGCUAGAUAGUUGAAUUUCACUGAAGGGUUUUGCCUUGGGUCAGUACUGCUUAAUUUAAGUUCACCUUCCGAUACAGGGAAUGCAAUCUUGGCAGCUAUUGGCAUUCUCGUUGCAUUGAAGCCUGUCGGUAUAAUACCUCCUUCAAUUAUGAACUUGAGGUCUUUUGCAAUCCCUGAAACUUGAGGGGGGUCUGGUAGUCGAUUUUGUGGAUUUGUGUCCACCAAAACAGCAAUACUAGGAUUAUCUUUCAUUUUUUUCCCUACUCCUUUCAGGUUUACCACAUGUGGGAUGCUGAACUUCUUGAAGUGUUCACGGUGUCCAAUGCCACUUGACAAUAGAAUUUGAGGGCUACCUAAUGCCCCGGCUGACAAUAUCACAUCGCCAUUUGAAG